GUCUUUUUGAAUUUAAUUUAAAGUCGAAUCUGCUCCAUGAAUAAAUUUUAAAUAGCUGCAGAAAUUUAACUGUACAAAGGUAGCAUAAUCAAUAGUUUUUUAAUUGAAAGCUGGAAUGAAUGAUUUGAUAAGAUAUAAAUUGUCUCAAAUUUAAUAAAAUUAAAAAUUUUUUUUUUGUUAAAAAACAAAAUUGUUUUUAAAAGACGAGAAGACCCUAUAGAUUUUUAUAUUUUAAAUUUAAUAAAAUAAAAAUUAAUUAAUAAGUUUUAAAUUAAAAGUAUUGGGUUGGGGUAAUUAUUAAAUUUAAAAAAUUUUAAUUUAUUUAAUAACAUAAAUUAAUGGAUAGUUGAUUUUAAAAUUAAAAUUGUAAGAGUAAAUUACCUUAGGGAUAACAGCGUAAUUUUUUUGGAGAGAUCAUAUUAAUAAAAAAGUUUGCGACCUCGAUGUUGAAUUAAGAUAAAAUUUUAAUGAAGUAGUUAAAAAUUUUUGGUCUGUUCGACCAAUAAAAUCUUACGUGAUCUGA
rnacentral:rRNA from 1 species